ACCUAGAGGUCUUAAAAGCCCUGCAUUCACCAUGAUCUGUCUGCCCCUGCCCUUUUGGGUUCUUCUGCAUGCAGUGCCCCCCUCUCCUGAUGCUAAGUUUUGGCAUGGGUGUCCUGGCUACCUCAACUGUAUUCUCAAGGCCAGGAGGAUGGCUCUGGCCAUACUUACGGAAGCCAGGCCAAUUUGUGUGAAGCAAGCUGGGCUUCUGGUUUGAUUCAGCUUCUGUAGCCUCCAGGGACCAUCCUCUGGAGUCUUGUGCUUUCACUGGACUCUUCAGCUUCACCAAACACACCAAGCUUUGCCAUUUACAUGCCAUGUGGGCCUUGCCAAGGGUUAUUUCAGGGGUCUUCCUGGGAGUCUUGUUCUAAGACACCGUGUUUCUUUAGUCUUAGGGACAACUCCCAAGGUGAUGAGCUCAUAGGACGUCUUCCCAUGGGGCCCUGUACUGGUGUCAAUAAACCAUAUAUUC
rnacentral:lncRNA from 1 species